rnacentral:rRNA from 1 species
GACGAACGCUGGCGGCGUGCCUAAUACAUGCAAGUAGAACGCUGAAGGAGGAGCUUGCUUCUCUGGAUGAGUUGCGAACGGGUGAGUAACGCGUAGGUAACCUGCCUGGUAGCGGGGGAUAACUAUUGGAAACGAUAGCUAAUACCGCAUAAGAGUAGAUGUUGCAUGACAUUUGCUUAAAAGGUGCAAUUGCAUCACUACCAGAUGGACCUGCGUUGUAUUAGCUAGUUGGUGAGGUAACGGCUCACCAAGGCGACGAUACAUAGCCGACCUGAGAGGGUGAUCGGCCACACUGGGACUGAGACACGGCCCAGACUCCUACGGGAGGCAGCAGUAGGGAAUCUUCGGCAAUGGACGGAAGUCUGACCGAGCAACGCCGCGUGAGUGAAGAAGGUUUUCGGAUCGUAAAGCUCUGUUGUAAGAGAAGAACGAGUGUGAGAGUGGAAAGUUCACACUGUGACGGUAUCUUACCAGAAAGAGACGGCUAACUACGUG